AGCAUUCUCUGUGGUUUCGCUCUGGCAGCAAUGGCGUGGCAGGUCUUACUGAUGUGUGCGUUCUCUCACCUCCUGCUGGAACACAUCAAUCACCCUCCACUUGCUUGAGUUAAGAAAAAAGACCUUCAAGGAAAACAAUGACAAGACCAUCAAGGAAGCAAUUACAUGGACAUUUAAAAAAAAUUAAACCAAUACCAAGGUCUUCGCUUUCUUAUCUAGAUGUUUUAGCUAACAGAUUACCUCAGCAACAAAUUAUCUAAUGGUCCAGGGUGCAUCCUUGGAGCUGUUUCUCAGGUAGCGGUGACGGGUUUACAUUGAUCCACACUCUUCAGCCUGGUCUCCUUUGUGGACAUCAUCCUGUACUCGCUGGACUCCAGCCCACAUUAGUGGUCCUGGUUUUGCCUCAGAGCUGAGUAAAAUGAACUGUUUCACCUGGAGAAUUCACUCAGCUGCUCGCAGACACGUUUCCACUGCCUGGCCAUGGCAUAGGAUCAUGAAGGACAACAUGGUUGCCAAAGGACCACCACUAAGAUGUGGGGCAGUUCUCAGAGAGAGGAGCUGACUGUGUGCUGAGCAACACCCAGAAGGUCUCUACUGUAGUAGAUUUUCACAUGCAAUAAAUAUAUACUAUAGUGUCA
rnacentral:lncRNA from 1 species